CCCUUAGAUGUUCUGGGCCGCACGCGUGCUACACUGAGUGGAUCAGCGGGUCAGGUUGCGCGAAAGUGUUUCCUAAUCUUUAAAUCCGCUCGUGAUGGGGAUAGAUCAUUGCAAUUUUUGAUCUUGAACGAGGAAUUCCUAGUAAGCGCGAGUCAUCGGCUCGCGUUGAUUACGUCCCUGCCCUUUGUACACACCGCCCGUCGCUACUACCGAUUGAAUGGUUUAGUGAGGACUCCUGAUUGGCGCCGCCGCCCCGGCAACGGAGCAGCGGACUGCCGAAAAGUUGUUCAAACUUGAUCAUUUAGAGGAAGUAAAAGUCGUAACA
rnacentral:rRNA from 1 species